GACGAACGCUGGCGGCGUGCCUAAUACAUGCAAGUAGAACGCACAGUUUAUACCGUAGCUUGCUACACCAUAGACUGUGAGUUGCGAACGGGUGAGUAACGCGUAGGUAACCUGCCUGGUAGCGGGGGAUAACUAUUGGAAACGAUAGCUAAUACCGCAUAAUAUUAAUUAUUGCAUGAUAAUUAAUUGAAAGGUGCAAUUGCACCACUACCAGAUGGACCUGCGUUGUAUUAGCUAGUAGGUGAGGUAACGGCUCACCUAGGCGACGAUACAUAGCCGACCUUGGAGGGUGAUCGGCCAAACCUGGACUGAGAAACGGCCCAGACCCCUACGGGAGGCAGCAGUAGGGAAACUUCGGAAAUGGACGAAAGUCUGACCGAGCAACGCCGCGUGAGGGAAGAAGGGUUUCGGAUCGUAAAGCUCUGUUGUAAGAGAAGAACGGGUGUGAGAGUGGAAAGUUCACACUGUGACGGUAUCUUACCAGAAAGGGACGGCUAACUACGUG
rnacentral:rRNA from 1 species